UACGUAGGGUGCGAGCGUUAUUCGGAAUUAUUGGGCGUAAAGCGUGCGCAGGCGGCUCGUUAAGUCAGGUGUGAAAGCCCCGAGCUUAACUUGGGAAUUGCGCUUGUGACUGGCGAGCUGGAGUGUGGCAGAGGGAGGUGGAAUUCCACGUGUAGCAGUGAAAUGCGUAGAGAUGUGGAGGAACACCGAUGGCGAAGGCAGCCUCCUGGGCCAGAACUGACGCUCAUGAACGAAAGCGUGGGGAGCAAACAGG
rnacentral:rRNA from 1 species